rnacentral:lncRNA from 14 species
AUUGCACUCGAGCAGAAGCAGCAAGGUCCACGAUGAGAAAAAUGAAUCCAGCAGUCCCUCCUAUCUUGUACCUGCCUGAAUGCAGGAAGAGACCUCAUACAAAGCAAGAAUGCAUUUGGGCUUUUGGCUCUUUUUAACCAUAUUUAAUCCAAUUCAGAGUUAAUGGUGAACUCAGUGAAACUGGUCUAAGCAUUGCUGAAGAAGGGAAGACCAGAGUUGGAAGGCAGGAGCUAUUUCAAAGCAGGAUUCUUCUUUCUGUAACACCCAAACAUGGAAACUACAAACUUCAUUAGAUCCUGCCAUCAGUGACUUGAGCUUCCCUGAAAUCUUCUUAUCAGUUACUGCCGAGAUGAGAAGGAUAACAGGAAGGAGGAGUGCUUAAGUGGUUUUAAUGACAGUUAAUUUCAUCUAUUUAUCAAAUGACAGGUUGUCUUUUUUCCUCAAAACUUGAUUGUCAUGACAAAAUGCUUUUGGAAGUCAUCUGUGUAAAAUAAAACUGACAAUUUUGGGGCUACAAGGAGCUAUUGUGUCUUUCUAUACAAUGUUGUCAUUAUGGUAAACCGCUGGAAAGUCUUUAUUUUUGAAGUGAUUUAACUUGCAUACUUCAUUCAUUUAUUUGAAUGUCUGUUGAAUACCAUGUGCAAAGUUUCUUGCCAGAGUUCUUUUAUUCAAUGGAAUAGUUACUCUUACAAUGUUCAAUUUAUUAUUGUCUAAAUUACUGUUGCCUUAGCCUCCUGAAAAAUGUUUCUGUUUAGUAAUUCUUAAGCAAAUAAGGAAUGAAUGAAGUUUUGUCCCCUUCAUGUUUUGAUCGACAUAUUUUUCGUUUCAGUGAAAGCAUCUUCAGUUUUCAGAAUGACAGUAUUACAACGAAAGGCACAUUUUUUCAUACUGGGUUCUGCAAGUUGAAGACAAAAAAUUGGUUUCUAAACUACUUCUGUGCUUCAAUAUUCUGUGAAAGAAGGUGAAAAUGAAGCCUGAAGAAUGGAGAGAGGCUUUGUUUUUGCUUGCUGAAGAAAACAC